GAUUUCUGGCGUUUCAUUUCAGGCCGGCCACGGUUUCGUGUGUUAGUGCUUGAGAUCUUCGCCAUCCUUCCAAUGGCUAUUCAUCCUUCUUCAUUGAAGGUGUGAGUGGUAUUGGAUCUUUUACUUUGAAAAAAUUAGAGUGUUUAAAGCAGGCUUACGCCGUGAAUACAUUAGCAUGGAAUAAUAAUAUAGGACUUUGGUUCUAUUUUGUUGGUUUCUAGGACUAAAGUAAUGAUUGAUAGGGAUAGUUGGGGGUGCUAGUAUUCAGAGGCCAGAGGUGAAAUUCUUGGAUUCUCUGAAGACUAACUACUGCGAAAGCAUU
rnacentral:rRNA from 1 species